AGUGAACGCUGGCGGUAGGCCUAACACAUGCAAGUCGAACGGCAGCACAGUAAGAGCUUGCUCUUACGGGUGGCGAGUGGCGGACGGGUGAGGAAUACAUCGGAAUCUACUUUUUCGUGGGGGAUAACGUAGGGAAACUUACGCUAAUACCGCAUACGACCUACGGGUGAAAGCAGGGGAUCUUCGGACCUUGCGCGAUUGUAUGAGCCGAUGUCGGAUUAGCUAGUUGGCGGGGUAAAGGCCCACCAAGGCGACGAUCCGUAGCUGGUCUGAGAGGAUGAUCAGCCACACUGGAACUGAGACACGGUCCAGACUCCUACGGGAGGCAGCAGUGGGGAAUAUUGGACAAUGGGCGCAAGCCUGAUCCAGCCAUACCGCGUGGGUGAAGAAGGACUUCGGGUUGUAAAGCCCUUUUGUUGGGAAAGAAAAGCAGCAGGUUAAUACCCCGCUGUUCUGACGGUACCCAAAGAAUAAGCACCGGCUAACUUCGUG
rnacentral:rRNA from 1 species